rnacentral:lncRNA from 1 species
UUUCCUGUUGCUUUGUGAAGAAGGUUCUUGUUUCUUCUUUGCCUUCUGCCAUGAUUGCCAUGUGAAUCGCACCCCUGGAACUGUGCGGGGCCCACCUGUGUGGCCACACGCAGUGACGCUGAGCAAAGGAGUGACCAGAGAAGUGCAUGGCAAAGCAGAAAGGUGUGCUGUCCUGGAGGACGGGGAGGAAAGCACGCCCAGCAGGCAGGAGCUAUCACGUGGCUGCUGGCUGCUGCUGAGAACCUGGCGUGGGCCACCGUCAUCAGCAGCGUGGAGGUAACUGACGACCUUGGCCAAGAAGUUGGGUGGCAGCGUGGAGGUCAUGCUCAGAGAGCCUGCAGGACUACUGUGGGGCCACUGCCACCCCGUGGGGUGGUCCGGGGAGCCGAGGGGCAUGGACACUGUCUUCUCCUUCCAGCAGGCACAGUCAGACCCCAUCUGGAUAAUCCUGGAUAAAUCUCAUCUGGAGAUCCUUCACCAGAUCACAUCGGCAAUGACCUGUUCCCCAAAUAAGGCCCCAUGCACAGGUUCUGGGGUGC